UUCACUUCCUGCUUGCUCCAACUUUCAGCCCGCCCCUUGCUCACCUCGCAUCCCAAGCUGAUCCAGCCACACCUUACGCGGGUUCCCCCAGGCCUGAAUUUCGGUGGACAAAACCAGCUUGCUUUCACAGAGAAUGUGGCUGCCCCACUCUUCACCAUCCUUAGAAAGGCUACAAUGUGGCCAAAUGGAGGGACCUUGGGGAUACAGAGGACACCCCAACAAGAUUGCCA